AACGCACAUUGCGCCCCUCGGUAUUCCGGGGGGCAUGCCUGUUCGAGCGUCAUUAACACCACUCAAGCCUCGUCUUGGUAUUGGGCGUCUCGCGGGGUCACACCCGCGCGCCUCGAAAUCUCCGGCCGAGCCGUCCGUCUCUAAGCGUUGUGGAAACAGUUUCGCUUGCGAGUGCGGGUUGGUUUGUUGGCCGAUUGAAGCCUUUCUCUCCAAGGUUGACCUCGGAUCAGGUAGGGAUACCCGCUGAACUUAA
rnacentral:misc_RNA from 1 species